rnacentral:misc_RNA from 1 species
UUUAAUUUCAUUCAACUUGCAUAACUUUCUGCCAUUCUUUGUUAUGCAAAACAAUUACAUUAAUGUUAGUUUUAGAGAUGGUUUAUUAUUUGUUUGAUAGAAGUGUAUGUACCUACAAUGGCAGCAAAAGACCCAGAUAUCAAGAUCCCCACAAUUACCACCAGCUCUAUCCCAAAUCGUCGAGCAGCUUUGUUAAUCCUUAGGUAGCAGAGGCACGGGAACAACACUGAG